rnacentral:rRNA from 1 species
AACGAACGCUGGCGGCAGGCCUAACACAUGCAAGUCGAGCGAGAUCUUCGGGUCUAGCGGCGGACGGGUGAGUAACGCGUGGGAAUAUGCCCUUCUCUGCGGAAUAGCCUCGGGAAACUGAGCGUAAUACCGCAUACGCCCUUUGGGGGAAAGAUUUAUCGGAGAAGGAUUAGCCCGCGUUGGAUUAGGUAGUUGGUGGGGUAACGGCCUACCAAGCCGACGAUCCAUAGCUGGUUUGAGAGGAUGAUCAGCCACACUGGGACUGAGACACGGCCCAGACUCCUACGGGAGGCAGCAGUGGGGAAUCUUAGACAAUGGGGGCAACCCUGAUCUAGCCAUGCCGCGUGAGUGAUGAAGGCCUUAGGGUUGUAAAGCUCUUUCAGCUGGGAAGAUAAUGACGAUACCAGCAGAAGAAGCCCCGGCUAACUCCGUG